rnacentral:lncRNA from 1 species
UUUAGUAUUAUAAUUUCACCAUUUUCAUCUCCUAUAUCACAACAUCCUCUUUCUCCAAGCUCUCCGCUUUCCAUUCGCCUUUGUCGAAUGGGACCACCUUCCGCUGCAGUCUACAGCAAUUCUUAAAGCCAUUGUGUCUCGAAAAAUGUGGUUCGUAUCUCUAAAUCUUUGUGGAAGCACCUCUUCAUACUCUUUGUUAAUAAUAAUGUAAAUUAGAAUUGCAGAUAUAAUCAGAAGGUAAUCUAGAGCCUAAGAUAUAUGUAGAGUGAGUGAGGAGGAGAAUAUAUACCUACCUUAACCAUUACUUCGCGUUUGAGAAUCUCCACAAGCUCCUCUCCAACAUCAUUUGAAUCUCUCUUAGGGCAAAAAACCUGUAGAACUGACCAGCUACUCGUCUUCAGAUAUCAUAUCAUAGAUCUCUUUGCAUUCGCCCAAAAAAAAAAAAAAUUAUUUGCAUUCAUCAUCUCAACAAAUCCACCUGUAUUUUCGUACGGCUUUGUAAAGAUCCAAAUUACAACAUGCUAAAUAUCCCAAUUCAGAAGAUUCUAGAUGAUCAGAAUAGAAUUUAACGAUGGGCUUCUCACCAUUUCUUGUAAGCUUUGAUGGGAACUCUGAACAUAGAAAGACUCAAUAUGUGAAUUUAUUAAAAUGUUGCUUAAACAAAUGUUUAAAUGCAAACUUUCACAUGCUGCUUAAACAGGUUCUUGAAGGCUUUCUCCAUUGAUAUAAAACAUGUCACUCUGCACGCCAAAUUCCAUCAUUGGAGAAUACCCAUUGCCAUGGAAACACAAAGUGAUUAAGCAAAUCACCAGAAAUCUAAAGACAAAGCUAGCACCAUUCAAAAUGAAGCCAAAUUCCAAAACGACUGCUUUAACUCAAUCUAAAGCAGGAAAGAUGAUGAUCCCAUGACUUUCCAGAGACCUGCAAUUAAAAACAUUUCUUAAAAAAUAAUACUCAUGCUUAAAACGAAGACUAAACAUGAAAGGUGAAACAUAAUGAGAAAGAGAGAUAGAUUUUAACAUUGUCUUUUCUCUUUGAGAAUUCAUUGACCCUGCAAUACAUAUGGAAACAACAGUUCAUAAUUUGAUCAAACUCCCCAAAAAAUUCAAUUGCUAAAACCUUAGAUCAAUUCUUUUGAGAUUCAGAGCAACACACAGAAAUAAAUCAUUUGACUGUUAUACACUUAAUACUCUGCUUAAAGGGAGAGGAAGAGGCGCUUUAUGGUAUGAUCGGACGAUGAAGAGAGCGGAACAGGAUCAAUUUAGAACAAAAACUUCCAGAUCUCCGCUCGAAUUCCAAAAUAUGAAAAUCCGAUUAGCUUCUUCACCUUCUGCGUGAGGAAUUAUAUUAAUUUUUCAGAUACCCCAUUGUUUUACAUGCGGAUGUGGACUUCGAGUUAGUGUUCAUCGCUUCAAAGAAAUUAUACGGCGAAUCCACAAUCGCAAACAGGCAUCAAACACUUAUACGGCAAAGAAUCCACACGCUGUAGUCCGCGAACAGGGAUCGAACACAUCUUCAUCGAGUUUCUCCUACUCAUUGGUCUUGAAAAUAAGGAAGUAGAGAAAGAUUCAAAGAGAGAAGAUCAAUUUGUCAUCGAGAAGCAUUGCAACGGAAGAUUAUAUUAUGAGAGAAGCUGAAGAGAUAGAUGGUGAAUCGUUUUUAGUAGGACUGGCCAUUCG